rnacentral:rRNA from 1 species
GGCUCAGAGUGAACGCUGGCGGUAGGCCUAACACAUGCAAGUCGAACGGCAGCACAGUAAGAGCUUGCUCUUAUGGGUGGCGAGUGGCGGACGGGUGAGGAAUACAUCGGAAUCUACCUUUUCGUGGGGGAUAACGUAGGGAAACUUACGCUAAUACCGCAUACGACCUUCGGGUGAAAGCAGGGGACCUUCGGGCCUUGCGCGGAUAGAUGAGCCGAUGUCGGAUUAGCUAGUUGGCGGGGUAAAGGCCCACCAAGGCGACGAUCCGUAGCUGGUCUGAGAGGAUGAUCAGCCACACUGGAACUGAGACACGGUCCAGACUCCUACGGGAGGCAGCAGUGGGGAAUAUUGGACAAUGGGCGCAAGCCUGAUCCAGCCAUACCGCGUGGGUGAAGAAGGCCUUCGGGUUGUAAAGCCCUUUUGUUGGGAAAGAAAAGCAGUCGAUUAAUACUCGGUUGUUCUGACGGUACCCAAAGAAUAAGCACCGGCUAACUUCGUGCCAGCAGCCGCGGUAAUACGAAGGGUGCAAGCGUUACUCGGAAUUACUGGGCGUAAAGCGUGCGUAGGUGGUUGUUUAAGUCUGUUGUGAAAGCCCUGGGCUCAACCUGGGAAUUGCAGUGGAUACUGGACGACUAGAGUGUGGUAGAGGGUAGUGGAAUUCCCGGUGUAGCAGUGAAAUGCGUAGAGAUCGGGAGGAACAUCCAUGG